rnacentral:rRNA from 1 species
ACGAACGCUGGCGGCGUGCCUAAUACAUGCAAGUAGAACGCUGAAGGAGGAGCUUGCUACUCUGGAUGCGUUGCGAACGGGUGAGUAACGCGUAGGUAACCUGCCUGGUAGCGGGGGAUAACUAUUGGAAACGAUAGCUAAUACCGCAUAAGAGUAGAUGUUGCAUGACAUUUGCUUAAAAGGUGCAAUUGCAUCACUACCAGAUGGACCUGCGUUGUAUUAGCUAGUUGGUGAGGUAACGGCUCACCAAGGCGACGAUACAUAGCCGACCUGAGAGGGUGAUCGGCCACACUGAGACUGAGACACGGCCCAGACUCCUACGGGAGGCAGCAGUAGGGAAUCUUCGGCAAUGGACGGAAGUCUGACCGAGCAACGCCGCGUGAGUGAAGAAGGUUUUCGGAUCGUAAAGCUCUGUUGUAAGAGAAGAACGAGUGUGAGAGUGGAAAGUUCACACUGUGACGGUAUCUUACCAGAAAGGGACGGCUAACUACGUG